UACGUAGGGUGCAAGCAUUGUCCGGAUUUAUUGGGCGUAAAGAGCUCGUAGGCGGUUUGUCACGUCGGAUGUGAAAACUCGGGGCUCAACCCCGAGCCUGCAUCCGAUACGGACAGACUAGAGUGUUGCAGGGGAGACUGGAAUUCCUGGUGUAGCGGUGAAAUGCGCAGAUAUCAGGAGGAACACCGAUGGCGAAGGCAGGUCUCUGGGCAACUACUGACGCUGAGGAGCGAAAGCGUGGGGAGCAAACAGG
rnacentral:rRNA from 1 species